CUCCUAAUAAGCAAUUGUUUUCCUUUUUACAAUUUAAAGGUGCCUUUUCGUUUCUUGUCUUUAAAAAAUAAAGCUUUAAAAGGUUCAGGUAAAUGCAGCAGUGUCAGGUUUUAUGGAUGUGGCAACGAAGCUACCUGCACCAUGUUGAUGCCAGUGCAAAGGCAUCUGACAUAAAUGAAAAAUUAUACAUAGCCAUUAGAGCGUAAGUGGGGCUGCUGUCAGUCAGUGCAGCUAAUGCAGUACUGUACUGAACCAGAUGCAACAAUAGUCUGACUUGGUAUAAGGCAACUUCCUAUGUUUCUACACCUCUCACAGUGAGAGGUUGGAAGCAUUAGGUCCCUAGGUGUGCAUGAAAAUGAAUGCAUGUACAUCAACACUAAGAAACGACACAGUGAACAGACUGACAUUUCACACAUUACAGCUGCUGAAUUAAAUAUUAUGAUAAUAUAUUGUAGGACAAUUACUGAUGAUAGCUGUGGGAGCUCUAAGCAUAUGAAGAUCAGGUUGGUUGGAGCUCCUACAGCAUUGCCAUGCCCUCCACCCUCUGUCGCUGCCCUGUGUUUCUCAGUUUACUUUUCUGCCAGUGUUUUGCAGAGAGUCCACAUAGAAGCCAUCACAUGGCAAGCUUUCUAGAGGCAACUGCAUAGUAAGCAGCAGUUUGAAUCCACACAUAGUAUUUUGAGUGAUUCAGAGUAUUCCCAUCAUUAAUGACUUUAUAAACCUUGAUCAUGUAUGUGUUCACUGCUUCCCUCGUCAACUAAACAAAAACAAACAAUUCAUUAAGCCUUAUUUCAGUAAGGAUGGAAGGUUAAGGCUGGGAGGCAUAGGUUGCCACACUUUAGCCAGGACCAGAUUAGGGUUAGUGGGGACUGCUUUUUAUUUCACACAGAAGACUAUAUUCUGGAAAUCAUUACCACUCUUUCUUUUGCAUUUCAAGCAUGCAUUUAACCUUAAUUCCAAAGCCUGCUGCAGAAACUUAUCAGCUCUUGUACCUUCAAGCAACUUCUGACAGCUCUAAAGGAAUCAGCUUGAAACAGAGCAGAAGAGGUGGAAGAUCUGCAGCAAAAUGCUAAAUGACACAGAUUGUGGGGCAUGGAGCAGCUUCUAGGCAGCUCAGCUGUGAGCCUCUGUUGGCAGCACUCACUUCCUCCACAUCAUCUAACGUAGAACCUGAAAGUGGCCAGCGUCACACCAAACUGAAGCUGCACUAAAACUCAAAGCACAUAGGUUUGCCUGUAGUUAGCAAAUAAAAAUCUAAAAGAAACUGUCAACACCACAGAUAGGCUAGGAUUGACCAGUGGAACAGAUUAGCUAGGGACUGCUUUAAGGCAGUUUGGAUCAAGAUAAACAUUGUCUUGCAUAAAAGCAUCCCUAAAAACUAGUUUAUUUUGAUCACAGCAACAUUCAUUGCUUUAUGCUCAACUUAUUAGCAACUUAUAGUCAUUGUUUAUUUGGUUAAUAUUCCACAUGCUGUUUUACUAGUGUUGUAUCAAGCGUCAAAAUGCCACCUGUUCAUUCAUAUUACUCAUGACUGAAUAUGGACACUCAUUUUUGAAAAAACUUAAAAUUAUGCACCAGAUUCAAAUUUUGCACUACAAUGUACGGAACUCUAGCAUAAUGUAUAAGUUAAACCCAGCCCCCUGAUGAUCACUGAAAAAUAUCCUGCUGAGCCCCUUCCUUCUGAGACCUCAAUGGACAAUGAUUGCAUGCACACUUUGAAACCGAUCUCCACAAAGCUCUUUGAUAGUGUACAAUGCAUAUACAACCAGCACUGCCCACUUAAGGCCUACGAACUUGUGUAUGUUUAAGUGGCUACUGGGAUUUUCAGGGUGUUCCAUUCUCGCAUCCUGUACCAACACUCUGCAUUGGUGCAAUACGAUUUUGGAAUUGCCCCUACAUAAGGUGUGAGAGUGUGUCUCUAAGAACUGAGCAGCAGGUCUUCUGGUUACUGCACCCACAGCAACAGGCAUUUUUUAAAUUUCUUAUUAUGUAUAACACACCAAAUUAGAUCUCUUGUCAUUUUACUGGUAACUAUUGAUAAGAGAUCUUGACAUCCCAUCCUGAGAGCUAUAGUUUCUAACUACUGUUUUAUGAUGCCAAUAAUGCAGAGAAAUGCAGAGAGGUGUGUGGGGAAACCAGCACAAUGCAUGUCAUACACGGUGAUGGAGUGCCUUGUCAUUUUUCAAGAUGCUCUUCACCACAGUUAGCUUCCUGACCUGACAAGAUGGAUUCUUCUAUGUGAAUAAUUUCAAUGAGGUUACCCUACCUCAUCACUUUUCAUAUUUCUCAUGCCACUAAUUUCAGUGGCAAAUUGAUUCAGUUCAAGUUACAGUAAACGAAAGGUCUGGAACAAUGAGCCUGUUAUCAACUCUUGUUCACAUGUAGCCUUCAGCAUUUCCCAGCCAUUCCUGACCUACACAGCACUCCUCUGCAAAGCUUAGCCUUCACUUCAAAUGGAAAUGCUUGUAGUCCUCAUGAACUGGAAGACUGAAGGCAGUGCACAAUGGAGGGAUAAGCAGAACCAUCACAGGGAUUGCUUUGUGAAAUAGUUAUGGUAAAUGUAUAUAUACCCAUUCACUAUGGGUACCCUAAGUGUCAUAGAGAGACAUAACCACAGUGCUCUCUCUUGGAUGUGUUAACUCUCCUGUAGAGAGCUUGGUUUGUUCCACAUUUUUUUAACAGUUCAGUAUUUUUAAAGCGUAGGUUCUUUUUUGACAGCCCGACCAAAGAAAAAACACAUUAAAUGUUGUUGCCUACAAAAAUAAAAAGGCCAUGUGUCAUGAAAUAACCUCCUGUCACCAGAGGGCAUCACAAGGACAAUAUUCCAGCUGUACUUCAGAGAAGGAGAUUUACUGCUUCGAUGUCCUGCAUUGCAGGUUUCAUAUAAAGAACAGAAGCCAAGGGUGUGUGUGGAUACAUGGGGCAGGGUAAUCCAGCCCCCUCACACACUAUACUGUGGGUUGUGGUGGAUUAGCCAGAGGAGUCUCUCUGGUCAGAUUCUCUGGUUUGCUGGGCUCUGCUGGCCACUGAAUGUGUGGGCAGCAUAUCCACUGGCAGCUAUCUCUGCCAGCAGAGGUCAGCGGAAAGCCUUGAUACAGAAUAUUCCAAGAGAGAGGCAAGGCUGAACCAACCCAGGAUAGGCUGGAUCCUGAGCCAGUCUCAAUGCAUUGGGCUUGAGUCAAGCCCUAUCAUCCUUCUUAUAUGGCCACCAUGAGUAGCAAAGCUCCAGUUAUGCUGGUCACCUUGUCUAGCCACCAUACCUCACAAGCAAGGGGGAGGGAGUUAGGAUUCCACCACAAGAGUGUUUUAUCUUCACUUAUGUGAGGCUUUUAUGAGGCAGCAUCAACACAUAACAUAUUUGGGCUGCUCCUGUGAGGGUCCACCGCUAAUGCCUGCUGAACUAUUUCAAGCCUACUGCUCAUCCUGACCCUCAAAGUCCAUCAGUGUCCAGGACACCAUGUCAGAUUGUUCAGGAACUGAGACACAUCCGUGGCUCUAAACUUACUGCUGGUGAACUCAAGACUGGCUGGCAAAAGCCUACUGAAGAAAAGCAGGCACACUGAAGCACAAUCAGAACUUUCUCAGGCAUCUUUUCCCACACUCAAGAAACUGAGUGUCUUCUACACCUCCCCAGUUCAGCAAUGCAGGGAGCAAACCAUGUGGAUGGCUAAGGAGUGCAGGAGAUUUGCUCAUCCUUAGGCCAAAGAGCUGGUCUCUAAUGAUCCAGCAAAGGAGGCAGAACAUAACAGAUGUGUACUGGUUCACAUUCACCUUCUUCACAGUGAGUUGCUCAUUAGGAGCUGUCCUUGGUGCUGUGACAGCCAACCUUGCUUGCCUUGCCCCACGCUCCUCUUCCUCAGUACCAGAACAGAAUAUAGCAUUAGCUGUAACAUUAGCUGCUAGCAAGGGGCAAAUUGGAGCCCCAGGACACAUCCAGAACAUGCACCAAAUCUAUUGUGGCCACUAUAGCCCCAUCAAGAGCAACCCCUCUUCCCAAGAACAUCCAGCUAACCCUGCAACAUAAUUUCUGGCUUGCCUAGAUUCAACCUUGGCUCCUUGUCCUUCAUUCAUUUAAGCACUGUUUCCAAGCAUUGCUUCAGAAAUAUAAGCACGGUUUUCCCAAUAAUGGAAGAUGGAGCAGACUGGGUAUUUUUUCAACACAGUGGUUUCACUUAGUGGCUUUGUGGAUAUGUUGGGAGCACUGGUCAACAUUCAAGCAUGUCCACAUCUGGCCAAUGUUGCUUCAAGAUGCACAUAUGCAUGGUACUUUUAAAAAGAGGAUAGAGAGAAGACCCAUUGGAGCAUACAAGCAAGGAGUGAUGGUGACUGGGGCCAAGAAGUGAGAAAUGGAACAAAAGCAUGAUAAAGCAGGGAACACUGUGAAGUUGGGUGAGUCUCCAGCAAAGCUAAGCACACCUACUGUGAAUCAGGAAUCCAUUAAAAUAGAACGGGGUAAACCUCAAUUAUCUUAAUAAUCAUUAUCAUCAGAUGAACUUGGCAUGAAUCAUGACCAAUUAUUUCUGAACUGUUGCCUACAGUUGAUCAGCCAGGCAUUCAAUGACUAGAAUUUACUGUAUCUUGUAUCUUAAGUAACUAUUGAGACUACAUUUAUCCUAUUUCUUCCCCAGCCAGUUUCCCUCCCAAUGCUCCUGAGCAACCUUGUACUUGGGAGAGUGAUUAGAAAAUUCUGCCAGUGGAUUUCAGUUUCACUUGCUGCUUUCCAACUAUCACUUCUUGAGAUGUAAUUCAUCUGGACCUGUUGCCUUGUCAGCUUCGAACAGUUCUAAUUGCUUGACUAUCUGCUGCGGCAUAAUCAGCAAACCUUUUCACAUUCUCCAUUGCCCAGAGGAAAAUGUAUUCUGGGCUGGCAGAUGUGACCUUCAGUAUUUCUGCAAAUGCUGAAGGGGAGGCAUUCACCAGAUCUUUCAGCUGCCCUGGCCCCUUUGCCCUCCUGGCUGAUGGGCUGCCAGUGGGUCUCUGGGGUGUUUCCUGACAAGAGUUUUUUCCGAGCAGUAGGCAUGGUGAAUCAGCAUGCCUGACACUUGCAAAUCACAUCGGGAACUGCACCAAUUGCUGUUAACCCAAAGCAGGAUUAGCAUGGAUGACAGAGU